AAGACAGAAGGUAUCACUCCUGACUCACCAAGACAAAUUUCUUCCUGUUUAUGGUACUAAGAAUAGCGUCCAGCAUUGAAAUCCUCCAGACAAGCCAGGAGUGAAACAUAGUGAAUUUUCAACAUUUUAGCUCUAUGGUUUGUUCAGGACCCAGGUUAGAUUUAUUACUGAUGCAGAUCAGGCCUAGCUGCAUGGACCAGGAUAUCCAGUAAUUAAAAAUUAUCUGGAACAGGAAGCCUUUCCACCACGCAGGUGGUAUGAGGGUAUGGACUACAGAGAGGGAAAAACAUGUUCCUCUCAGUGUCACACAUUUCUAGCCAAGGCAAACCAAGACUUGAAAAAUCCUGGACAUUAGUGAACACUCUUCACGGACAUUAGCGAACACUAAAAUACAUAUCAUCUGGUUUUGAACA